rnacentral:misc_RNA from 1 species
AAGUCUAACAGGGUUUCCAGAGGUGAACCUGCGGAAGGAUCAUUAACACGUAUCCAAACGUAAAAAACCCCCGUGAACAUUCAAUCCUGCUCUUGUAACCCGCGUAGUUCGCAAUCUCUGGUAAAUCAUAGCCCGGAAAGUAGUUUUAAUUCAGAGACGUGAGAACAUUGGAACAGUCACAAUCGAGCGGUAGUUUCAUAGGCAUUGUUUCCCCAAGCGCUUCAACGAUUCCUGUAGACCGUACACUCGGGCAGGAGCUAUGCCAAAGGGCCCAUAACCCCACAGUUUAAUAUGAAGCUCAAUGUAAUACAUUGGGGAAAAAAACCGAGCAACUGUUAACAAUGGAUAUCUUGGUUCUC